rnacentral:rRNA from 1 species
GGGUUGUGAGGUUAAGCGACUAAGCGUACACGGUGGAUGCCCUGGCAGUCAGAGGCGAUGAAGGGCGUGCUAAUCUGCGAUAAGCGCCGGUAAGGUGAUAUGAACCGUUAUAACCGGCGAUACCCGAAUGGGGAAACCCAGUGUGAUUCGUCACACUAUCAUUAACUGAAUCCAUAGGUUAAUGAGGCGAACCGGGGGAACUGAAACAUCUAAGUACCCCGAGGAAAAGAAAUCAACCGAGAUUCCCCCAGUAGCGGCGAGCGAACGGGGAGGAGCCCAGAGCCUGAAUCAGCAUGUGUGUUAGUGGAAGCGUCUGGAAAGGCGCGCGAUACAGGGUGACAGCCCCGUACACAAAAGCGCAUGUGCUGUGAGCUCGAUGAGUAGGGCGGGACACGUGGUAUCCUGUCUGAAUAUGGGGGGACCAUCCUCCAAGGCUAAAUACUCCUGACUGACCGAUAGUGAACCAGUACCGUGAGGGAAAGGCGAAAAGAACCCCGGCGAGGGGAGUGAAAAAGAACCUGAAACCGUGUACGUACAAGCAGUGGGAGCACCCUUUUGGGUGUGACUGCGUACCUUUUGUAUAAUGGGUCAGCGACUUAUAUUCUGUAGCAAGGUUAACCGAAUAGGGGAGCCGGAGGGAAACCGAGUCUUAAUUGGGCGUUAAGUUGCAGGGUAUAGACCCGAAACCCGGUGAUCUAGCCAUGGGCAGGUUGAAGGUUGGGUAACACUAACUGGAGGACCGAACCGACUAAUGUUGAAAAAUUAGCGGAUGACCUGUGGCUGGGGGUGAAAGGCCAAUCAAACCGGGAGAUAGCUGGUUCUCCCCGAAAGCUAUUUAGGUAGCGCCUCGUGAAUUCAUCUCCGGGGGUAGAGCACUGUUUCGGCUAGGGGGCCAUCCCGGCUUACCAACCCGAUGCAAACUGCGAAUACCGGAGAAUGUUAUCACGGGAGACACACGGCGGGUGCUAACGUCCGUCGUGAAGAGGGAAACAACCCAGACCGCCAGCUAAGGUCCCAAAGUCAUGGUUAAGUGGGAAACGAUGUGGGAAGGCCCAGACAGCCAGGAUGUUGGCUUAGAAGCAGCCAUCAUUUAAAGAAAGCGUAAUAGCUCACUGGUCGAGUCGGCCUGCGCGGAAGAUGUAACGGGGCUAAACCAUGCACCGAAGCUGCGGCAGCGACGUUUAUGCGUUGUUGGGUAGGGGAGCGUUCUGUAAGCCUGCGAAGGUGGCCUGUGAGGGUUGCUGGAGGUAUCAGAAGUGCGAAUGCUGACAUAAGUAACGAUAAAGCGGGUGAAAAGCCCGCUCGCCGGAAGACCAAGGGUUCCUGUCCAACGUUAAUCGGGGCAGGGUGAGUCGACCCCUAAGGCGAGGCCGAAAGGCGUAGUCGAUGGGAAACGGGUUAAUAUUCCCGUACUUGGUGUUACUGCGAAGGGGGGACGGAGAAGGCUAUGUUGGCCGGGCGACGGUU